UGGGGAAUUUUGGACAAUGGGCGCAAGCCUGAUCCAGCCAUGCCGCGUGCGGGAAGAAGGCCUUCGGGUUGUAAACCGCUUUUGUCAGGGAAGAAAUCUUCUGAGUUAAUACCUCGGGAGGAUGACGGUACCUGAAGAAUAAGCACCGGCUAACUACGUGCCAGCAGCCGCGGUAAUACGUAGGGUGCAAGCGUUAAUCGGAAUACUGGGCGUAAAGCGUGCGCAGGCGGUUUUGUAAGACAGAGGUGAAAUCCCCGGGCUCAACCUGGGAACUGCCUUUGUGACUGCAAGGCUUGAGUGCGGCAGAGGGGGGAUGGAAUUCCGCGUGUAGCAGUGGAAUGCGUAGAUAUGCGGAGGAACACCGAUGGCGAAGGCAAUCCCCUGGGCCUGCACUGACGCUCAUGCACGAAAGCGUGGGGAGCAAACAGGAUUAGAUACCCUGGUAGUCCACGCCCUAAACGAUGUCAACUGGUUGUUGGGAAGGUUCCUUCUCAGUAACGUAGCUAACGCGUGAAGUUGACCGCCUGGGGAGUACGGCCGCAAGGUU
rnacentral:rRNA from 1 species